GUGGAAUUCUUGUUGGGUUUGGAGUGGAAGUUAGACCUGAUCUGAGAAGGCAGCUGGGCGUGGUGUUCAGGUCGGCGCGAGGGUGAUCUGGUCUCCGUAGAUCUGACACGCGUGUUGUGUGUCCCAGCGGCGUGUGCUGGACCACAGUGCGUACUGGAAUGAAUGCAAGACCUCACUCACUAUUAAAUACGUGGUCUCGGUGGCAAACUCAAGAAUCCAUACACUGUCCAGGCAACUGAAGUAUUUCUUGCUUGACUUUUCUAGAAGCAGGCACUGCUUAGGGUGAAGCCCUUCUACAAAUGAAGAACCAGGAAGAAGUGAAAGGUUCAGGAAGGAACCAAGUUGGUGAAAGCCAUGUCCGUGGGCUAGUGACUCACAGAUGUGGCCAUAAACUUCUGCCAAGGUGAGUGGGAAUGAUUGAGUCUUGCCCAGAGGCGUUUGCACAGGAAGGCGAUGUGGGACACCUACAGGAACCUGGAUGGUAACACCAAUGUUCACUGUGACUCAGUGUCUUCUCUUGCUUUAUUGUUUUCCAACACCAUCCCUCUUCAAGACCAUUUAGAUGGGUGGUUCUCAACCUGUGGGUCAUGUAACCUCUUUGGGGCGUGUCCAAUGAGCCUUCACAGGCAAGGGUUGCCUAAGAUCAUCGGAAAACACAGAUAUUUACAUUAAGAUUCUUAACAGUAACAAAAUUGCAGUUAUAAAGUAGCAAUGAAGAUAAUUUUGUGGUUGGGGGACACCAAGCCACAAGGAACUGCAUUAAAGUGUUACAGCAUUAGGAGGGUUGAGAACUGCCAAUUUAGACAACUGUAGCUCUUGCUUACAAACUUCACUGUCAGCUUUCAUGUUUUAUGUACAGAUCUUUGCAUUUUAAAACCAGAUGAGAUCCCAUUACUGUAGCACGAGAAGGAGCCAUGAUGACAGACGGAGAGGUGUCCUGGUGAGUGCAGGAUGACUGGAGCUGGAGAAGGAGCCAUGAUGACAGACGGAGAGGUGUCCAGGUGAGUGCAGGAUGACUGGAGCUGGAGAGGUUGGCUCAGCAGUCUCUUCCUUUGGCAUCUGAGGGAUAAUUCAGAUGCUCUCCCGGAUUGGUGCAGGCUGUCAUAGCAGUUUCUU